UACCAGCACCCCGAGUGGUCGGGACGAUUAUUGGGCCUAAAGCAUCCGUAGCCGGUCCUGCAAGUCUUCCGUUAAAUCCAGCUGCUCAACAGAUGGGCUGCGGGGGAUACUACAGGGCUAGGAGGCGGGAGAGGCAAGCGGUACUUUAUGGGUAGGGGUAAAACCCGUUGAUCCAUAGAAGACCACCAGUGGCGAAGGCGGCUUGCCAGAACGCGCUCGACGGUGAGGGAUGAAAGCUGGGGGAGCAAACCGG
rnacentral:rRNA from 1 species